rnacentral:sRNA from 1 species
AAGAUGAAGGCCAUGAACCGCUUCUUCGAGGAAGGCGACAAGGUCAAGGUGACGCUGAAGUUCCGCGGCCGCGAAAUGGCCCACCAGGAACUCGGCAUGAAACUUCUGAUGCAGGUCAAGGACGACACCCAGGAAAUCGCCAAGGUGGAAGCCGAACCCAAGCUCGAAGGCCGCCAGAUGAUGAUGGUGCUUGCGCCGAAGUGAUCGGCGGAGCCUGAUAGACCA